GUUGGUGUAUCUCAGUGGUGUAUCUCAGUUCAUGCUUUGUAUGUAUGUUGUCCUGGGUUCAAUCCCCAGCUUCUUCC